UGGGGAAUAUUGGACAAUGGGCGAAAGCCUGAUCCAGCAAUGCCGCGUGAGUGAUGAAGGCCUUAGGGUUGUAAAGCUCUUUCACCAGGGAUGAUAAUGACAUACCUGGAGAUAGUCC
rnacentral:rRNA from 1 species